ensembl:lncRNA
AGCAAUUAUUCAAUCAACCCAUCCUUGCAGUAGUAAAUUAGUAGUAAAUUAGUAAAUGAAUACUUUAGAUUACUUGAAUCCAGAUCUGUAUGUUAAAGACAUGCUGGCUUUAUUCCACAUGCUCAUUUUUUCCAAUCACCUUUUUUGAACCUAUUUAGCCAUUUUACUUCUGAAUUUGUCAAGACAUGAAAUCAUGGUUUGUUUGAAGAAUGAUUGUUUUUUGUCUGAUAUCAUACUUCAUAACUUCAAAGAAUGCAUGACAUGAAAAAUGUCAUCACCAGGAAAUCCCUGGUGUCUGCAGCUCCAGGUAUCUGCAGCAGUCCAGCUGGAUAUUUGCAAGGUUCAGUGAAGAUCUGAGAAACAGAAAUUGCCUUCCAACAUGAUGAAAUGCAUUGCUAGCAAAGCCCUUGGAUUAAUUCUUCACCCCACAUCUUUCCAGAUGAGUGUUUGUUCAUAAACUUUAAUUUUCAUAGUAGAUUCAGCUUUGGCCUAAGAAAACUGGGGACAGAAAUAAAUUUUGCUAAAUUUUGCUAAUUUUGCUAAAUUUUUGGUGCACAAAUAUACGUGUAAUUACAGUGAGCAAUUAGUGGAGGAGGCCAGAAACUGGAAGUCAGAAUAUGCAAAGUGUUCACAGAGAAUAAAAAUUACAUUUGAUGUUGUAGACACAUUGCCUGGUAAUGCUGAUAUUAAGACCUAAUCCGACAGUUUAGGAACAUGUUUAAGACAGGAAUUUCAUAUUAUUCGAAUGUCACAAACUCUAUUGACAGAUUGUUGAAGAGCGCCCGUUUUAACUUUAGAAUACUGCAAAUGAUAAAAAUAAUGUUCCAAAUCUAGUAAGGACUUAGAAGUUGUGUGAGUGAUAUUAACAAUUCAGGAAACAAGCUUAGGCUUCGGUUCCAUUCUUUAAAAAACACAGACUAACGAUCUAAUUCAUGAAACUGUUUUGUCACUAUAAAAUACAAUAGUAUGACAAUCAAGUAUAGUAAAAGAUUAUAAAUACUUUGUUAUAUAUAAUUUCAUCUACGUCCCUAUGCUUCUACUUGACCUAAGGAAGGACAUCCUGAAUUCAUCUAGGACUAUUCUGUCAUGAUGCGCAUAAAAAUACAUAUAUUAAAAAAUGGCUAGAGUUGUUUGGAACAGGUUGCCUAGGGAAGUGGUAGAGUCACUGCCCCUGGAGGUCCUUAAGGAAAGGGUAGAUGCAGUACCUAGGGACAUGGUUUAAUGUGGCAAUAUUAGUGGUAGGUGGAC